AAGACUUUUGAUCUUUUUUUCUCCUCUUUUAUGGUGCGAAUGCUACCACUACCGACUAGAUUGGAGUGAUCAGUCAUCAGAUUUCAUGAUAGAUGGGCAUCCUCUAUUUAUUCUUUUUUGCCGCAUCGAUCAUUAUUGUUGAAUAUGGGCCAUGCUUAGAUGGCCAUGGGCCAGAGUCAUUGGAUCUACUAGCAUUGGACCUAGCCGCCAGUACUGAGGAUCGUCAUAAUAGGGGGUGGUCUGUCUUAAAGCCUUC
rnacentral:lncRNA from 1 species